rnacentral:rRNA from 1 species
UGCAGUCGNACGGCAGCACGGAGCUUGCUCUGGUGGCGAGUGGCGAACGGGUGAGUAAUGCGUCGGAACGUAUCCAAUAAUGGGGGAUAACGCAGCGAAAGCUGUGCUAAUACCGCAUACGCCCUCCGGGGGAAAGCAGGGGAUCGUAAGACCUUGCGUUAAUGGAGCGGCCGACGUCUGAUUAGCUAGUUGGUAGGGUAAAGGCCUACCAAGGCGACGAUCAGUAGCUGGUCUGAGAGGAUGAUCAGCCACACUGGGACUGAGACACGGCCCAGACUCCUACGGGAGGCAGCAGUGGGGAAUUUUGGACAAUGGGCGCAAGCCUGAUCCAGCCAUUCCGCGUGAGUGAAGAAGGCCUUCGGGUUGUAAAGCUCUUUCAGGAGGGAAGAAACGAUUGUGGCUAAUACCCAUGAUUAAUGACGGUACCUUCAGAAGAAGCACCGGCUAACUACGUGCCAGCAGCCGCGGUAAUACGUAGGGUGCGAGCGUUAAUCGGAAUUACUGGGCGUAAAGCGUGCGCAGGCGGUUUUUCAAGUCUGAUGUGAAAUCCCCGGGCUUAACCUGGGAACUGCGUUGGAAACUGAAAGACUAGAGUGCGGCAGAGGGGGGUAGAAUUCCACGUGUAGCAGUGAAAUGCGUAGAUAUGUGGAGGAAUACCGAUGGCGAAGGCAGCCCCCUGGGUCGACACUGACGCUCAUGCACGAAAGCGUGGGUAGCAAACAGGAUUAGAUACCCUGGUAGUCCACGCCCUAAACGAUGUCAACUAGUUGUUGGGGAGGGAGACCUCCUUAGUAACGCAGCUAACGCGUGAAGUUGACCGCCUGGGGAGUACGGUCGCAAGAUUAAAACUCAAAGGAAUUGACGGGGGCCCGCACAAGCGGUGGAUUAUGUGGNUUAAUUCNNNGCAACGCGAAAAANNUUACCUACCC